UGGAGCCGUGUGCGGGAAAGCUGCAUGCACGGUUCUUUGGGGGGGACUAUAACGGAUGAACCUAAUUGUGGGAUUUAAAGUUAUAGGUCCAUAUUCUCAACUCACU
rnacentral:ncRNA from 1 species